CGUAUCAAAACUUGUUUUUGACGUCUAGUGACGUUUGGUUUGUCAUCACAAAAAACACACACACCAACCCGACACAAGAAGAAAACUUGUUGUGGAUUUCAUAUUAGUUUAUCAUAUUCGUCAUAACUUAUUAAAUUUACAAGAAUGGUUGAGAUUACGUUGGAAACUGUAAAGCUGCACAACAAACCAAGUGACCUCUGGGUAGUAAUAGAAAACAAAGUUUAUGAUUUGACCAAAUUUCGGGGCGAACAUCCAGGCGGAGAGGAGACACUUGACGAAGUAGCGGGACGGGAUGCAACAAAGGAUUUUAUCGACGUUGGCCAUAGCCAGGAGGCAAGGGAAAUUAUGAAGAAGUACUAUGUUGGCGAUUUGGCAGCCAAGGAUUGCAAAGGCAAACUGCCGCUCAGUUGUAGAUACUUUUACGCCGCAAGAAAAAUUAAAUACUUCAAAUCAAGCAAAUGAGAAAUAUUCCAUGUACCUACAAAUAUGUCAAAUAAGUACAUAUCUAUCAACAAGGAAAUCGGAAUAUGCCUUGCGUCAGUGGUAAUUGGAGCGGUUGCCGUGCUUUUGGUGAAAAAAGUUUUAGCUAAGAACUAACGUGAUGCUGUGAAAUUGAGACCGUCAUUCCUACCGUUUAAAAUGUGUUACCUUGUGUGAAAUAAAAUGAAAAUAAUUUUAAA